UGGGGACGUCUUCGCUCCCCUGGAUAGUUAGCGGCGGACGGGUCGAUGUAACACGUGGGUAACCUGCCUGUAAGACUGGGAUAACUCCGGGAAACCGGGGCUAAUACCGGAUGGUUGUUUGAACCGCAUGGUUCAAACAUAAAAGGUGGCUUCGGCUACCACUUACAGAUGGACCCGCGGCGCAUUAGCUAGUUGGUGAGGUAACGGCUCACCAAGGCAACGAUGCGUAGCCGACCUGAGAGGGUGAUCGGCCACACUGGGACUGAGACACGGCCCAGACUCCUACGGGAGGCAGCAGUAGGGAAUCUUCCGCAAUGGACGAAAGUCUGACGGAGCAACGCCGCGUGAGUGAUGAAGGUUUUCGGAUCGUAAAGCUCUGUUGUUAGGGAAGAACAAGUACCGUUCGAAUAGGGCGGUACCUUGACGGUACCUAACCAGAAAGCCACGGCUAACUACGUGCCAGCAGCCGCGGUAAUACGUAGGUGGCAAGCGUUGUCCGGAAUUAUUGGGCGUAAAGGGCUCGCAGGCGGUUUCUUAAGUCUGAUGUGAAAGCCCCCGGCUCAACCGGGGAGGGUCAUUGGAAACUGGGGGAACUUGAGUGCAGAAGAGGAGAGUGGAAUUCCACGUGUAGCGGUGAAAUGCGUAGAGAUGUGGAGGAACACCAGUGGCGAAGGCGACUCUCUGGUCUGUAACUGACGCUG
rnacentral:rRNA from 1 species